GGUGUAAAUAGGUAAUGGGACAAGUACUGGUGUGAGACAUUGUGUAACCUAAAUAAUUAUAGGACCAGUAUUCAAAUUUAUUGUUAUUUACUUCAACUUCAAUAGUAUGAACUGCAUAUACGUGAUGAAUUAUGGCAAUAACGAUUAUAGGAACUGAGGAGGGGUGAAUUGGUUAAUUGGAAACGAUAAGUCGAGAGAUAAAGGAGAGAAAAGGAAAGGCAACCCUGUACGCGUUUCGACCUAACAGUCUUCUUCAGCAGGGUUUUUUAAGAGGGGUGCAGGUAGAAUUUGCAGAGGAGAAUGAAGGAGAGGUUAAGAGUUAGGAUAAGCAAUGGCACAGUAACAAAAAGGAAAGAUGGAAAGAUAGUGAGAAAUGCAAAACUACUACAUGUUAAAAGAAAAGUUAUCCUACCAAAUGUCUUGUUAUUGCGCGACAUUCCAACACCACGCACCUUGCUGUUCAUCUUUUGUUUAGUUUGAUGAAACAGAGUAAUAAUACAGUCCUUUCAAAUGUAGCUAACUCAAUAGUAUAGUGAGUAUGAAUGAUGUGAUGGUAGGGGUGGGGUAGGAUUUAUAUCA